GGGUCUGCCCUGGUAGUCCUAAAGAUCGUGCCUGUAAUUACUGUUUGUACGUUCCGUCGACCGGGCGCCGUGAUGCUACGAGCCGAUCGAGAUUAGGCACCCGUGGUGCGGCGUCUUUUACUGUGGACAGCCGGUCCCGCUAAUACACGAGCGGCCUGGACGAGUUGUAGCGAUCGAGCUCGUCGAGAUCCGGGCGGUGCACACUCGAGUGUGGUCGGUCUCUGGUGCCGAUGCUUGCGCGCAGCGGCUGAUUCAAUUUGCCGCCCGGCUUGCUUUGCAGGAAUAGGGAUAGUGACGGGAAAGAGCCCAAUCCGCCACCGCCUUUCGCCCCGCGACGACAGAAGUCUCUUAUUCGCUUCCUGCUGCCCCGUCUCUACGACCGUCGUUACGGCCAGGACCUGGAGUGGACUGACGAGGAGGAAGGCAUUUUCCGCAUUCGUUGGGCUCGCCAUCCGUGGAUUUCUCAAAGGGAACCUCCUGUGCAACUGUUUAAGGACUGGUCUGUUAGGUUGAGGAAGUGGAAUGAAGAGGACCCGAAAAACCUUGACAAGGCAAAGGACCGGAUUCGUAUUAGCUUAUUGCAUACCAAAUAUGUGGAGAAAUUGAAUCAGGAUGACCAAAGCUACCGGUGGUUUAAGGUUGACAACCGUCAAUUGCUGGAUGACACAAAACGCAGGCUGCGCUUGAAGCAGCAAAUGAGAGAUGGCAUUUUAAGUCAUGUGAAGUAUUGUUACAUCCACAAA
rnacentral:lncRNA from 1 species